AUUGAACGCUGGCGGCAGGCCUAACACAUGCAAGUCGAGCGGAUGAGUGGAGCUUGCUCCAUGAUUCAGCGGCGGACGGGUGAGUAAUGCCUAGGAAUCUGCCUGGUAGUGGGGGACAACGUUUCGAAAGGAACGCUAAUACCGCAUACGUCCUACGGGAGAAAGUGGGGGAUCUUCGGACCUCACGCUAUCAGAUGAGCCUAGGUCGGAUUAGCUAGUUGGUGAGGUAAAGACUCACCAAGGCGACGAUCCGUAACUGGUCUGAGAGGAUGAUCAGUCACACUGGAACUGAGACACGGUCCAGACUCCUACGGGAGGCAGCAGUGGGGAAUAUUGGACAAUGGGCGAAAGCCUGAUCCAGCCAUGCCGCGUGUGUGAAGAAGGUCUUCGGAUUGUAAAGCACUUUAAGUUGGGAGGAAGGGCAGUAAGUUAAUACCUUGCUGUUUUGACGUAACCAACAGAAUAAGCACCGGCUAACUUCGUGCCAGCCGCCGCAGUAAGAC
rnacentral:rRNA from 1 species